rnacentral:tRNA from 1 species
CAGACGUUAGUUUAAUAAAAAUUAUAGCUUUGGGAGUUUUAGAUUCUAAGUUUUCUAGAACGUCUGA